rnacentral:rRNA from 1 species
GACGAACGCUGGCGGCGCGCCUAACACAUGCAAGUCGAACGAGGUCUUUUAGGAAGCUUGCUUCUUGGCUGACCUAGUGGCGGACGGGUGAGUAACACGUGAGCAACCUGCCGGGGAGUGGGGGAUAACGUCUGGAAACGGACGCUAAUACCGCAUAACAUAUCGGGAUGGCAUCAUCCUGGUAUCAAAGGAGAAAUCCGCUCUUUGAUGGGCUCGCGGCCGAUUAGGUAGUUGGUGGGGUAAAGGCCCACCAAGCCGACGAUCGGUAGCCGGACUGAGAGGUUGAUCGGCCACAUUGGGACUGAGACACGGCCCAGACUCCUACGGGAGGCAGCAGUGGGGAAUAUUGCACAAUGGGGGAAACCCUGAUGCAGCGACGCCGCGUGAGUGAAGACGGCCUUCGGGUUGUAAAGCUCUGUUGACGGGAACGAUAAUGACGGUACCCGUUCAGAAAGCCACGGCUAACUACGUGCCAGCCGCCGCCGUAAUAC